GGAUGGCAGUAGUGCCCACAGGCUUGGUAUUAUCUGCCUGGUGGACCUCGUGUGUGUGUGCCUGGGCCACCAGCCAAACCCUCUCUUUUUUUCAGGGAGAAGAGUGGAAGAGAGAAUAACAUAGAGAUCAUGUCAAGCAAGAUCAUAGGAUUGGGUCAGGCCAAAUAGUGAAGAUUAUUUUUGGUUAAAAUUGGAGUUUGAUCUCAUCAAGCUUCCAAACUGAGCAUUUGGGAUGCUGGCCAGCCUUGCUGUUAUCUGUUCUGAGGAUCCCACUGGUGUGGUAAUUGUAGUUUUACCAUUUACAAAGAAAGAUGCUUCUCUGAUUCAGAAGAGAGGACUCUUUGCCAAAGAAAUAGGGUGAAAAUGUAAAUAAGAACCAGAGAUAUGGUGAAAGUGACCUUGCCCUCCAGUCUGUACAUGCUCAUGUUUGCUGUUAUUGUCUCUGGGAGUAUGAUGUAGACAAGUUCUGGUUCCUGCCUAGUGUGGAGGAGCUUGGACAUCAGCACUCUGUCCUGACAAGAAAUGAAGAGCUGAGAAAAUUGAAAAGCCAAGGACUCUCCUUAGAUUCACCAGUAAAUUGAGGUCAUGGGGCAAACCAUUGCCCCCAAAGUUAGACAGGCUAGCACAGGAAAUCUCAACCUACUGAAGCAGAAAUGCAAGAACAGAAACCUCUAUGCUUGGUGAAUUUUACCUCUAGGAGCGUUACCAGGCUCUCAAAGAGAAAAACUCCCUUGUGCUUCCAGCAGGAGAAGGGGAAAGGAACCACUCUGUAAUUGUUCACAAAGUCUUCUUUCUGGAGAAAUUAUUCAGCCAGAGCCCAACUUGCUGGGAUUUCAUCAGGGCCUAGCUGACCUGGGAGAAGGGAAAUGCUUCAGUGAAAUUAAUCUAAAAAUAAUUAACAGGAGGACACCGGGGAAAUCUCAAAGUAUAUGAGGAUCAAACAGUACACUUUUAAAUUACACGUGUUAAAAAGAAAUUUUAUGACACCUUUUGAAAUGUCUUGAAGUAAAUAAAAAUACAACUCAUCAAAGUUUGUGGAAUGUAGUGAAAGCAAUGCUUGGAAGAAAAUUUACAGCACUGGAUGCAUACAUUAGAAAAGACAGAUCUUAAUUCAAUCAUAUAAGCUCCAUAUUAGGAAGCUGGAAAAAUAAAAAGCAAAUUGAAUCCCAAGGAAACAGAAGAAAAAAAAUAAAAGGGCAGAAACCAAAGAAUUUGAAAGUAGAAUAUCAACAGAGCCAAAAGCUGUUUGCAGGCUAAGAAGAAAGGAGGUGAGCUGCUCCCAGUGAACAGGAGGAGGCUUCCAGGCCACCGUACCACCCCUACUAGCACAGAGGAGGUGAGCUGCGCAGGCGCCAGUAGCAAGCACGUUGAAAUGAGAAGACAUGGAAAUAAGUUUCAAAAUCAGACUUCCAGAUCACCUACAGCAACCCCAAGGGGAAAUGAAAUGGAACACUGUGAUACUCAACCACCUAGACUCCCUGAACUGGCAACAAAAGAGGAUCUGGAAAAAAUGAAAUCAGAAAUAAUUUCUCACAUAACAGCAGAGAUUAUACCCAUAGUGCAAGACAUGAUUAAUAAAUCUAGAGAGGACACAGAUAAAAAAUGGAGGAGCUGGAGUCAUGCGGAAGAUGCCGAAUCACCCCGCUGCAGACAGGCAGGUCUGCCCACACCCUACCGAGGUCCCCAGUCGCGCGGAAGACACCGAAUCACCCUGCUGCAGACAGGCAGACACCUGAUUCCACACUACAAAGAUGCAGAGGACACCAGACUACCAGACCAAGGUCCUGAGUCCCACUGUUCCCGGCCUAGAGG
rnacentral:lncRNA from 1 species